rnacentral:misc_RNA from 1 species
AGGAAUAAGGGAAAAGGAGAAAGAGGAACCACUGAUAGAAGAAAACAAUGGUGCAACGGAGGAGAUAUGUGGAGUUAUGAUAGUAAUUGAGGGAAAGAAGAAAAGUGGCGGCGNAUACUAAAGUGGAGGAGGUGCCAUUUGAAGUGACAAAUGUGGCUGUAGAAUUAUGUCAGGGGGGAGAUAAUGAAGGCAAAGAAUUAGUGAGGGAGACUACAGGAUUGGUAGAAAAAAUUAGGGAUGAG